AACGAACGCUGGCGGCAUGCCUAACACAUGCAAGUCGAACGGACUGCUUCGGCAGUCAGUGGCGGACGGGUGAGCAAUGCGUGGGAAUCUGCCCUGGGGCACGGAACAACGCCGGGAAACUGGCGCUAAUACCGUAUACGGCUUAAGAGCGAAAGAUUUAUCGCCCUGGGAUGAGCCCGCGUCGGAUUAGGUAGUUGGUGGGGUAAUGGCCUACCAAGCCUGCGAUCCGUAGCUGGUCUGAGAGGAUGAUCAGCCACACUGGGACUGAGACACGGCCCAGACUCCUACGGGAGGCAGCAGUGGGGAAUAUUGGACAAUGGGCGAAAGCCUGAUCCAGCAAUGCCGCGUGAGUGAUGAAGGCCUUAGGGUUGUAAAGCUCUUUCGGCGGGGAAGAUUAUGACUGUACCCGCAGAAGAAGCCCCGGCUAACUUCGUGCCAGCAGCCGCAGUAACAC
rnacentral:rRNA from 1 species